rnacentral:ncRNA from 1 species
AGAAAUGCAUGGAACAGGACAGCUCACAAGAAGCAGACCGGAUUACAGAGAGCCGCAGGCUGGUGAGAAGCGGCAGAAGGUAUUUUGUGAUAUCACCUGGGAGCAUCCCGCUGAAUAGAAAUCUUUAAGUAAGCCGGGACGUAGUCUUCACGUUACAGAAGAGAAGAGGCUGUUUGAUAUGACAGUAAUAAGUGGUCGCGUUUAGCAAUAAAUACGAUAAUACAAAGUGGUACCACGGAACAUUCCGCCUUUGUU